AACGAACGCUGGCGGCAUGCCUAACACAUGCAAGUCGAACGAGACCUUCGGGUCUAGUGGCGCAUGGGUGCGUAACGCGUGGGAACCUGCCCUUAGGUUUGGAAUAACUCCCCGAAAGGGGUGCUAAUACCGGAUAAUGUCUUCGGACCAAAGAUUUAUCGCCUUUGGAUGGGCCCGCGUUGGAUUAGCUAGUUGGUAGGGUAAAAGCCUACCAAGGCGACGAUCCAUAGCUGGUCUGAGAGGAUGAUCAGCCACACUGGGGCUGAGACACGGCCCAGACUCCUACGGGAGGCAGCAGAGGGGAAUAUUGGACAAUGGGCGGAAGCCUGAUCCAGCAAUGCCGCGUGAGUGAUUAAGGCCUUAGAGUUGUAAAGCUCUUUUACCCGGGAUGAUAAUGACAGUACCGGGAGAAUAAGCUCCGGCUAACUCCGUG
rnacentral:rRNA from 1 species